GCUAUGAAGGUGGCAUUGAAGCUUCUUUCAAAAAUGUUCUGAUUAUGUAAGUUCUGAACUGCUGCCACUAGUUUGCUUACUAUUUCCCAGCAAUUGGUGAAAAAUGUCAUGGUGAAACCAUCCAGUCCAGGGGAGGAUCUAGGAAGGCUCGUGGGGGUGCCACGCCACCCACAACCUAUGACGGAAACAUUCUCUAUAUAUAUAUAUAUUGUUCCCUAUUUCUUUAUAGAAUUUGUGGAAUAUGGAUUUUAUUAUUUAUUUUCUUUAUAAUUGAUAAAAAUUCUCUUGUUAAGACCCUAUGAAUCGAUUAAAACCACAGA